rnacentral:lncRNA from 1 species
CCCAUAUGUGAGCUGGUUGUUAUGUGGGGGCCAGACCCUCUGUUGGGAAUGGAGACGGUGAUUUCUCCUUUUAAGACAAAGCAUGUAGGGUUAGACAUAGUCACCAGGGAGGUAGAGAGGCUACAGAAUUUUAUUCUGAGUUUCUGUGAAAACUGAGGCAAGGAUGGUGGUGAACGUAUUAAUAGAUAGGAAUGUGCCCAGAGCUCAUAGUCUUAUGUUGAAUAUAGUACCCCUUCCACCAAAUCUUAAGAUCAGUAACAACUCUGUGGAAUUCUGUGUGCAGGUUCUGACUGGGCCUCCUUCUCUACUCUCUAUACAUACAACAAAUUCCCUCAAUACCUAACCCACCUCCUAGAUCACAGUUAUCAGUUGUUUACACUUGUCUCUUCCACUACAUUUCUUCCCAUUAAGUGGACUGUGGCAGUGUUUUACUCUCCAGACUCCAGAUGGCUUCAGGCAUCAGGAAGACGGUAAAAGAUGGCCAGACACUAAAGGCUUAUCCCCGUCUCCUCUCCAACUCCAAACCCUGGGGUAAUUCCAUUUAAAGUUGAGCAUGGAAAAUAAGGUUUUGUUCCCUUCAGGACAUCGGGGUAAGCAUGAGACACAUGAGGAAGACAACACAUGAGGAAGACAACUGAAUCCAAAAGAACCCCAGGACAUGAAAAUUACUACUGUAUUGGAUACGGAAUCUGAGACUCAGAAAGGUUCUGCACAAGAGAACCAGUUUUCAGAUGUUGCUACAGAGGAAGACAAUACCCAAUUAGUUUUAAAGAAUGGCAGCUAUCACCAGAGAGACUGUCACUCCCCAAAGCUGUCAGGUAGGAAAAUCUUUGCCUCCCCAUCCCUGCUUCCAGUCCUGCCAGCAAAGAGGAAUGAGUAGGGAAGUGGCAGAGGGAGAACAUAUUGCCCCCACCCUCCAUGCAAGUAUUCAGGGCCUCGGCCAGGUCUAGUGUCGCUGGGAAGGGACAAAGCAAGAGUUGUGAAGGGGAGCUUGAAAUGAACAUUUUUAAAUUUUUUGUGUGUAUAAACAUUUACAAUAAUCUGAAAUACUGGAGACUGUUCUAAUUCCUGAAAGUAGGUAGGAAUCUAUGGCAUCCAUCAUUAAGCUAUCCAGUAGAAAAGACGGGCUCAUACCACGGACA